rnacentral:rRNA from 1 species
AUGCACGCUGGCGGCGUGCCUAAUACCUGCAAGUCGCGCGAACAGACGAGGAGCUUGCUCCUCUGACGUUAGCGGCGGACGGGUGAGUAACACGUGGAUAACCUACCUAUAAGACUGGGAUAACUUCGGGAAACCGGAGCUAAUACCGGAUAAUAUAUUGAACCGCAUGGUUCAAUAGUGAAAGACGGUUUUGCUGUCACUUAUAGAUGGAUCCGCGCCGCAUUAGCUAGUUGGUAAGGUAACGGCUUACCAAGGCGACGAUGCGUAGCCGACCUGAGAGGGUGAUCGGCCACACUGGAACUGAGACACGGUCCAGACUCCUACGGGAGGCAGCAGUAGGGAAUCUUCCGCAAUGGGCGAAAGCCUGACGGAGCAACGCCGCGUGAGUGAUGAAGGUCUUCGGAUCGUAAAACUCUGUUAUUAGGGAAGAACAAAUGUGUAAGUAACUAUGCACGUCUUGACGGUACCUAAUCAGAAAGCCACGGCUAACUACGUG